AAGUAGUUCAAAACAUCACUUACAAUAACCAAACAACACCAAAAACCUCACAUCCACUUACACCAGUCACUAAGCAUCGAUUUAUAUAUAUCAUAGCAACACCAGAAAUCAGGUAUGCUUACUCUGCUUAUUUCAGUAUUCAAUUCUCUACAUUCAUAGCUCUCAAAGGCACUCAUCACCGUCUGAGUGGUUACCCAAGGGCCACGGAUCUCACCUCUUUGUCUAUUUGCAAGCUCACAUAACACAUCGACUGGUCAGAGGAGUUCACGGCAGCAUCAAACAUCUUUUUUAGGCAUUUUAAUAAACAGGUUAUAAGCAUCCUUCAUUAGUCCGCACAGCAAAAUCACAUAAUCCAACGGCAUCAAACUCCACACCAGCUCAAUCCUACCAUGCAACUCAUUAAAACCCGCAUCGCACUAUCGAUUUGUGAACAAUUGACACAAAAAUGCAACAAUUCACUUCCUACAACCUUGAAACUCUUGCAGCCAGAUUUCAGAACAAGACAAUGAAUUUGCUCGCCAUCAGUAGAUGAUUGCGCCUGGGCACAAAAUAAAAGAGAAAGUGGCCUCAUUGAGUUUGGAG
rnacentral:misc_RNA from 1 species